rnacentral:tRNA from 1 species
GGGCCUGUAGCUCAGCAUGGACAGAGCGCGAGGUUCCUAAUACCUCCUGCUUGAGCUUCCGCAAAAGUUGGGGGGUUAGAGAAGAUCUUGGUCUUCGAAUGGAAAUACCUCGAAGUCAAGGGUUCAAAUCCCUUCAGGUCCG